GAAAGAGAGCAAGAUAUUUUUUUGGGGGAGAAAAUUCAAAACUCGAGGAAACAAAAAUCGGAAAACCAUUUUCCUAAUCUAUAAAAUGAGUUGAUUGAUGAAUCAGUCUGACUCAUAACUGGGUUUCGAUCUCUAUUCCAUUUCAUCAACUUUCCUUUCGUAUUCGGUGUCGAUCUUCUUUCCUUGAAUAGCUACGCUCUCAAUUGCGAGCAUACAAGUGUAUCUGCAGGUGUUUUCUGCAGUUUCCGAAGCUCUUUUGAGUGUUUUCCUUUUAUGGGCCCGAGGGUUCAGCCGUUUGGGGCUUCUCCGGAUUCCCUUGACGUUUCUUUUGAUAGGAAUGUCCCAGCGGAGAGUAAUACCUUAAACCGAACUGGAGACAGGGGGAAUAAGUUCCAUGAAGUUGGGGUUCUGAGUCAGACCUCCAGUCCAGUAAGGAGAGAAGUCGGCAGGUUAUCGUUUGCAAUGAAGUCCCAUGAACACAAUGAGGUGGACUUAGAAGAUGGCAAGGCGGGAAAAGGCAUAGAGAAGCCAGUUCACAGAAAACUACCAAAUCAGGCUUUGUUGUCUGGUUUAGCUUAUUGCAUUUCAUCUUGUAGCAUGAUAUUGGUGAACAAGUUUGUUCUCUCCAGCUACAACUUUAACGCUGGCAUAUCUUUGAUGUUAUACCAGAAUCUCAUCUCAGUGAUCAUUGUGGUGGUUUUGAGCUUGAUGGGUUUGAUAUCGACGGAACCUCUAACCUGGAGACUGAUAAAGGUCUGGUUUCCCGUGAACGUGAUUUUUGUUGGCAUGCUCAUCACAAGCAUGUUUAGUUUGAAAUACAUCAACGUAGCAAUGGUCACUGUCCUGAAGAAUGUCACUAAUGUAAUAACUGCAGUUGGUGAGAUGUAUAUAUUCAACAAACAUCAUGAGAGCAGAGUUUGGACUGCUCUCUUCUUAAUGAUCAUUUCAGCAGUUUCUGGGGGGAUAACUGAUAUAUCUUUCCACGCUGUUGGCUAUGCUUGGCAGAUUGCUAAUUGCUUCUUAACUGCUUCGUACUCUUUGACUCUGAGAAAAAUCAUGGACACAGCGAAGCAAGUUACCAAAUCUGGAAACUUGAACGAGUUUUCUAUGGUCUUGCUUAAUAACACACUCUCGUUACCACUCGGGCUUCUUCUUGUCUUUGCUUUCAAUGAAGUUGAUUAUCUCUAUGAAACGCCACUUUUACGAUUGCCCGUUUUCUGGUGCGUCAUGACAUUAAGCGGGUUUCUGGGCCUUGCCAUUAGCUUCACUUCGAUGUGGUUUCUUCACCAAACUGGGGCGACAACAUACAGCCUCGUGGGAUCACUGAACAAGAUUCCUCUGUCCAUCGCGGGCAUAGUUCUUUUCCAUGUACCAACCAGUUUGCAGAACUCUGCGAGCAUUUUCUUCGGUCUUUUGGCUGGAGUUUUUUUCGCCAGAGCCAAAAUGAGGGAAAAGUCCUAAAAAGAAAAGCCAUCAUUCCUCGCUUGCCUACGUUACCGAUAUACAGUGGGGCCAAAACGAUGAAACCUUCCACAACCUUGACAAAUAUACUUCAUAUAUGCUUCUUGCCCGGUAAGUCAGGCUGCUAUUUGAUGAAAUCGUUUCAAGGGGGGAAUUCAAUUCAAAAUUUGUAUUCAUGGGAGAAACUAACAAAACAUUUUCCCCGCCAUAUUUUACUAGUGAUCAACUUGUUAUUGUGUAAUUGUAGUGGAUCGAUUGGUUCUUGGAUAGAAGAGAUCUCAUGGUUCAUGUGGUUCCAUGGUUUCAUUUAAGUUGGUCAUUGAAGUUGCACAUUGCGUUUGAUUUCAUGUCAAGAAUGAGGGGCAGAAGUGUGAAACAUUGGCAAGCAAUUUCUGACUUUUGUCGUUUCAUAGAAUUGUUUAGACAUUAGUUUCUCUCUCUUUUUUCCCCCUUCAAGCUCUUUAAUUGGCAAUUUUGUAUUUUAAUUCUUCGUAUGUUAUAUCACUGGUAGAAUUUAACGAAAAGGGUUCAUUGUAUCGUG